UUAUCGGAGAGUUUGAUCCUGGCUCAGGACGAACGCUGGCGGCGUGCCUAAUACAUGCAAGUCGAGCGGACUUAAAAAGCUUGCUUUUUAAGUUAGCGGCGGACGGGUGAGUAACACGUGGGCAACCUGCCUGUAAGACUGGGAUAACUUCGGGAAACCGGAGCUAAUACCGGAUAAUCCUUUUCUACUCAUGUAGAAAAGCUGAAAGACGGUUUACGCUGUCACUUACAGAUGGGCCCGCGGCGCAUUAGCUAGUUGGUGAGGUAACGGCUCACCAAGGCGACGAUGCGUAGCCGACCUGAGAGGGUGAUCGGCCACACUGGGACUGAGACACGGCCCAGACUCCUACGGGAGGCAGCAGUAGGGAAUCUUCCGCAAUGGACGAAAGUCUGACGGAGCAACGCCGCGUGAGUGAUGAAGGUUUUCGGAUCGUAAAACUCUGUUGUUAGGGAAGAACAAGUACGUGAGUAACUGCUCGUACCUUGACGGUACCUAACCAGAAAGCCACGGCUAACUACGUGCCAGCAGCCGCGGUAAUACGUAGGUGGCAAGCGUUGUCCGGAAUUAUUGGGCGUAAAGCGCGCGCAGGCGGUCCUUUAAGUCUGAUGUGAAAGCCCACGGCUCAACCGUGGAGGGUCAUUGGAAACUGGGGGACUUGAGUGCAGAAGAGAAGAGUGGAAUUCCACGUGUAGCGGUGAAAUGCGUAGAGAUGUGGAGGAACACCAGUGGCGAAGGCGACUCUUUGGUCUGUAACUGACGCUGAGGCGCGAAAGCGUGGGGAGCAAACAGGAUUAGAUACCCUGGUAGUCCACGCCGUAAAC
rnacentral:rRNA from 1 species